GUCUGUUCCCAAUGCACAAAUGCCUCGCUCACCAGGCCUAGGUUUUCCCCAUCAGCAAAAGAGGAACAAGACUCCCUCCUGCUUAUCUCUAAGACAUGAAAAAGAAACAGAACAUCAGAAGAAAGGGCAAGAAUUCACACUAAGCUCAGAGAACAGCAGUGAGUGAGUUACAAACUGUCCCCUCCCAGAGACAGACGCAACCAAGGCUUUCCAUAUCAGACCCAAGGCAGCAAAGCCCUCUGAGGGAAAACAGUCCUCCUUGCAGCUAAGGAGGGGAGUGGGAACAAAGGAAAGGAGCUACCACGACAAAAAUGUUAUCCUAGCGAAGAAACAGUUCCUCCAGUAGCUUUAAAAAGAAGAGCUAUUCUCACUUUUUAAAAAGUCUGAUUCUUGGAAAAUUAAGAAGACCAAAGAUGAGUAAGGAAGUGUUUAUACCCGGAGGGGUGUGUGUGUGUGUGUGUGUGUUUUUUUUUUUAAGAUUUAUUUUAGAAAGAGGAAGAGAGAGCACAACAGGAGGGGCAGAGGGAGAGGGAAAGAGACUGUCAAGGGGACCCCGUGCUGAGCGCCGAGCCUGACCCCAAGACCCUAAGACCGAGACCCCAAGACCGAGACUCCACUGUAACCAAGAGUCAGAUGCUUAACCAACACCACCGCCCAGGCAAGCCUACAUUGAGUAUCUGUGUACCUACUACGAACUUCCCACGGACCCAGGACCUGCUCCAAACACUUCACAGGAAGCAGCUCCUCUAAGGUGCUCAGGCCACUCACAUAGCCCUGCAGUUACUGUUCCAACAGCUCUGCUGGGCUUGCCUCGGAGUCACCGCCCCACAGGUGGGGAAAAGCAGACACGGACAAAGCUCCAGGCGCAAAAAAGAGAUCUGGGGGAGUGGUGGGAAGCUCCACCUCUGAUGGGAUCAAGGGAACCACUCUGCGUCUCUUAAGGUUCUGCAGCCCAGGACAUUCAGCGAAGUCUGUCGGGACUCAGGCCACCUUGGGUCUCAGAGUAGAGCGAAGACAACAGUUCUGGGGGCCAGCAGGAGCCGGCUUCCCCUGCAGCUCUGAGACCGACGACCUACGCAGAAACAUCCUCCUUGCCUUUUAGUGUCCAUCCCCUUGGGGUCUCUGGGAGCAGGAUCCCCUUGGUUGUCUCCAUACUGAGUCCCUCCAUCAGUCUGUCUUCCAGCUUCAUGUCACAUCCAAUCCAUCUCCUCCCCUUUCAUCCCUACC